rnacentral:rRNA from 1 species
GCAUAACGUCGCAAGACCAAAGAGGGGGACCUCGGGCCUCUUGCCAUCGGAUGUGCCCAGAUGGGAUUAGCUAGUAGGUGAGGUAACGGCUCACCUAGGCGACGAUCCCUAGCUGGUCUGAGAGGAUGACCAGCCACACUGGAACUGAGACACGGUCCAGACUCCUACGGGAGGCAGCAUG